CAGCAGUAGGGAAUCUUCCGCAAUGGACGAAAGUCUGACGGAGCAACGCCGCGUGAGUGAUGAAGGUUUUCGGAUCGUAAAGCUCUGUUGUUAGGGAAGAACAAGUACCGUUCGAAUAGGGCGGUACCUUGACGGUACCUAACCAGAAAGCCACGGCUAACUACGUGCCAGCAGCCGCGGUAAUACGUAGGUGGCAAGCGUUGUCCGGAAUUAUUGGGCGUAAAGGGCUCGCAGGCGGUUUCUUAAGUCUGAUGUGAAAGCCCCCGGCUCAACCGGGGAGGGUCAUUGGAAACUGGGGAACUUGAGUGCAGAAAGAGGAGAGUGGAAUUCCACGUGUAGCGGUGAAAUGCGUAGAGAUGUGGAGGAACACCAGUGGCGAAGGCGACUCUCUGGUCUGUAACUGACGCUGAGGAGCGAAAGCGUGGGGAGCGAACAGGAUUAGAUACCCUGGUAGUCCACGCCGUAAACGAUGAGUGCUAAGUGUUAGGGGGUUUCCGCCCCUUA
rnacentral:rRNA from 1 species